rnacentral:rRNA from 1 species
AGAGUUUGAUCAUGGCUCAGGACGAACGCUGGCGGCGUGCCUAACACAUGCAAGUCGAACGGUCUAAUGUUCAACACUGAAUGUUUACUACAGAGAACUUGGUAAAGUCGCGGACGCGACCGAAAGAGAGCGUCGAAGCGACAAAUAAAGUGCCUACACAAUAAGGUUGGGAAUCAGUAGUGAAAAAAGAAUGUUUACUACAGAGAACUUGGUAAAGCCGCGGACGCGACCGAAAGAGAGCGUCUAAGCGACCAACAAAGUGCCAACACGGCGAGCGAAGUUGGAAAGAAGUAGAGGAACAUUGAGUGUUGGACAUUAGAUAGUGGCGGACGGGUGAGUAACGCGUGGGUAACCUACCCAUAAGUGGGGGAUGACAGUUGGAAACGACUGCUAAUACCGCAUAAGCUUCAAUUGUCAAAAGGCAGAUGAAGUAAAGGAGGCCUCUGAAUAUGCUUCCGCUUUAUGGAUGGGUCCGCGUCUGAUUAGCUAGUUGGUAGGGUAACGGCCUACCAAGGCAACGAUCAGUACCGGCCCUGAGAGGGUGGACGGCCACACUGGGACUGAGACACGGCCCAGACUCCUACGGGAGGCAGCAGUGGGGGAAUAUUGCGCAAUGGGGGAAACCCUGACGCAGCGACGCCGCGUGGAGCGAUAAAGGGCCUUAGGGUCGUA